AGGAUUGGUAUGCUGGCACGUGACGGGGUUAACGAACUCCUUGCGAGAGUUAGUGGCGGACGGGUGAGUAACGCGUGAGAAUCUAGCUUCAGGUCUGGGACAACCACUGGAAACGGUGGCUAAUACCGGAUGUGCCGGAAGGUGAAAGGCUUGCUGCCUGAAGAUGAGCUCGCGUCUGAUUAGCUAGUAGGUGGGGUAAGAGCCUACCUAGGCGACGAUCAGUAGCUGGUCUGAGAGGAUGAUCAGCCACACUGGGACUGAGACACGGCCCAGACUCCUACGGGAGGCAGCAGUGGGGAAUUUUCCGCAAUGGGCGAAAGCCUGACGGAGCAAUACCGCGUGAGGGAGGAAGGCUCUUGGGUUGUAAACCUCUUUUCUCAGGGAAGAACAAAAUGACGGUACCUGAGGAAUCAGCAUCGGCUAACUCCGUGCCAGCAGCCGCGGUAAUACGGAGGAUGCAAGCGUUAUCCGGAAUGAUUGGGCGUAAAGCGUCCGCAGGUGGCUGUGUAAGUCUGCUGUCAAAGAGCGAAGCUCAACUUCGUAAAGGCAGUGGAAACUACACGGCUAGAGUGCGUUCGGGGCAGAGGGAAUUCCUGGUGUAGCGGUGAAAUGCGUAGAGAUCAGGAAGAACACCGGUGGCGAAGGCGCUCUGCUAGGCCGCAACUGACACUGAGGGACGAAAGCUAGGGGAGCGAAAGGGAUUAGAUACCCCCCUGUUAGGUCAACAAA
rnacentral:rRNA from 1 species